rnacentral:rRNA from 1 species
CAAAACUUUUAACAACGGAUCUCUUGGGUCUCGCAUCGAUGAAGAACGCAGCGAAAUGCGAUAAGUAAUGUGAAUUGCAGAAUUCAGUGAAUCAUCGAAUCUUUGAACGCACCUUGCGCCUUUUGGUAUUCCGAAAGGCAUGCCUGUUUCAGUGUCAUGAAAUCUCAAUCUAAUAUGUUUUCUGAACAUGUUAGGCUUGGACUUGGGUGUCUGCCAGUGAUGGCUCACCUCAAAUGACUUAGUGGAACAUCCCACAUCAGUGUUAGACGUAAUAAGUUUCGUCUCUCCUUGUGGUGAUGACUGCUCAGAACCUGCCAUCGCGCAUCUUUUGACUUUGACCUGAAAUCAGGUAGGGCUACCUGCUGAACUUAAGCAUAUCAAUAAGCGGAGG